UGGGGAAUAUUGGACAAUGGGCGCAAGCCUGAUCCAGCCAUGCCGCGUGAGUGAUGAAGGCCUUAGGGUUGUAAAGCUCUUUUAUCCGGGACGAUAAUGACGGUACCGGAAGAAUAAGCCCCGGCUAACUUCGUGCCAGCAGCCGCGGUAAUACGAAGGGGGCUAGCGUUGCUCGGAAUCACUGGGCGUAAAGGGCGCGUAGGCGGACAUUUAAGUCAGGGGUGAAAUCCCGGGGCUCAACCUCGGAAUUGCCUUUGAUACUGGGUGUCUCGAGACCGGAAGAGGUAAGUGGAACUGCGAGUGUAGAGGUGAAAUUCGUAGAUAUUCGCAAGAACACCAGUGGCGAAGGCGGCUUACGGGUCCGGUUCUGACGCUGAGGCGCGAAAGCGUGGGGAGCAAACA
rnacentral:rRNA from 1 species